AGCAGAGUAGAUAUUUGUGCGUUAAGUGUCAAAUAGACGGGGAGUUGCUAUUUGAACGAAAAGUUUUUCUUGCGGUACAAAUAUCGCAUCCCGCUGCU
rfam:Megamonas hypermegale ART12/1 draft genome.